CUAAGAAUAUUCCGCAAUGGACGGAAGUCUGACGGAGCGACGCCGCGUGGAUGACGAAGGCCGAAAGGUUGUAAAGUUCUUUUGCUGGGGAAGAAUAACCGCAGGAGGGAAUGCCUGUGGGAUGACAAGAACCGGCGAAUAAGCCCCGGCCAACUACGUGCCAGCAGCCGCGGUAACACGUAGGGGGCGAGCGUUGUUCGGAAUUACUGGGCGUAAAGGGCAUGUAGGCGGCUUGGAAAGCCUGGCGUGAAAGUCUGCAGCUUAACUGCAGGGGUGCGCUGGGAACUGCUGAGCUUGAGUGACGGAGAGGGAGCUGGAAUUCCUGGUGUAGGGGUGAAAUCUGUAGAUAUCAGGAAGAACACCGAUGGCGAAGGCAAGCUCCUGGCCGAUGACUGACGCUGAGGUGCGAAAGUGUGGGGAUCAAACAGGAUUAGAUACCCUGGUAGUCCACACAGUCAACGAUGUGCACUAGGUGCUGGGGCGGUAGCUUCGGUGCCGGAGCGAACGUGGUAAGUGCACCGCCUGGGGAGUAUGCUCGCAAGGGUGAAACUUAAAUGAAUUGACGGGGUCAUAGCUGUUUCCU
rnacentral:rRNA from 1 species